GUGGGGAAUAUUGGACAAUGGGCGAAAGCCUGAUCCAGCCAUGCCGCGUGUGUGAAGAAGGUCUUCGGAUUGUAAAGCACUUUAAGUUGGGAGGAAGGGUAGUAACCUAAUACGUUGCUACUUUGACGUUACCGACAGAAUAAGCACCGGCUAACUUCGUGCCAGCAGCCGCGGUAAUACGAAGGGUGCAAGCGUUAAUCGGAAUUACUGGUCGUAAAGCGCGCGUAGGUGGUUCAGUAAGUUGGAAGUGAAAUCCCCGGGCUCAACCUGGGAACUGCUUUCAAAACUGCUGAGCUAGAGUACGGUAGAGGGUGGUGGAAUUGCCUGUGUAGCGGUGAAAUGCGUAGAUAUAGGAAGGAACACCAGUGGCGAAGGCGACCACCUGGACUGAUACUGACACUGAGGUGCGAAAGCGUGGGGAGCAAACAGGAUUAGAUACCCCUGUAGUCC
rnacentral:rRNA from 1 species